UGGCCUCAGCCUCAACAUCUUCUUGCCUCUUCCUCCCAUAUGCUUAUUUUACAGAGACACAUCACUACACUCAGCCUCUCUUGGGUGAUGUUUCUGUCUGUUUUGUGGAAUAGACUCAGCCAUAAUAUCUCUAUGAUUUUUACAAAUUUCUCAAAUUUAGUAUAGUAUAGUAUAGCAUAGUAUAGUAUAAAUUUCCACAAAUUUAGAGUAAACUGGCUGAAACUCAGGCAGCAUCAGACCUCUGAGGGCUCAGGACUGGUGUGUCCUGUAACACUUGCCAGCCACCCUCUCUGAAGUGAAAUGCAUUCUAUCUGAGCCCCAGCUGGCUCAUUGUAGCUGCCUUGAAGUCCUUGUACAAGACCAAGUAAUAGAAGGCCUGUGGAUUGUUACAGAGAGGGAUAAACACCCCAAGGAUCUAACUGGGUGAUGGUGAUCUUCUUGUAAGACAUCUCAUAACUCUACCAUCUGGUUUCGCUAUCCCGUGAGUAUGGUCGGUCAACCAGUGUUGUGCUGAACCGGAAAGGUGUUGAGAAAGGGACAACAUCAGGCAGGACAUCAUGGUGUGACAAAGACCACUCAUGGAGUGGAAGAUGGGAAGCAGAAAGGAAGGCAGGAGAGAGCAGCAGCAAGACACACAGAGGACCUGCCCCCAGUGGCCUCUACUCUCCAGCGGCUUUCCAAAGUCCCCUUAAAGGAGCCCCAUAGACUGAGGACCAAUCACUCAAAGCACAAGCCCACAGGCAGGAAGGCAUUUCAGGUAUCUGUGAGAUGGCUUUGCUUAUCAUGAUGUCCCUCCAUAAGCACAAAGGAAGAAAGCCAGUCAAUCAUAAAUUAGAGUCUCCAAAAUACAUAUAGUUAAACAUAUGAACAACCUUCCUAUCAGCUUUCUUUAUCCUGCUGCCAUGCCAUGUCAUGCCUACCCUGACUAUGUUGAACUCUUCCUCUGGAACUGUAAACUAAAAUAAAGUCUGGUAAAACCAUAAACUAAA